UAUCCGUAGGUGAACCUGCGGAAGGAUCAUUCAUAAUAAGUGUUUUAUGGCACUUUUUUAAAUCCAUAUCCACCUUGUGUGCAGUGUCAGGGUUGAUUUUUCUCUCGAGAGGAUCAACCCCAAACAUCAACUAUAUCUCAACUCUUUGUCUGAAAAAUAUUAUGAAUAAAACAAUUCAAAAUACAACUUUCAACAACGGAUCUCUUGGCUCUC
rnacentral:misc_RNA from 1 species